rfam:Ipomoea nil DNA, scaffold: scaffold2036, cultivar: Tokyo-kokei standard.
GGACUGUGAUGAUUAAUGAUUUGGUCUCGUUCGUCAGAAUUGUGUUGAACCACAUUGACGACCAUCCUGAUAUAUCACCACCCAUAAACUGAGUCC